AUUACAGGCACAUGCCACCACGCCUGGAAAUUUUUUUUUUUUUUUUUUUUUUUGUUUUUUUUUUUUUUUUGGGAAAGUAAGACCAGGAGUGUUAACCAAAGCCAAGCACCACACACCCAAAUCUUAGAAAGCACAACUAUAGCCACCAGUUAUCUGGCCAUGUCACAAGACACCCUUUUUUCUCCCUUGUUAGAGGAGGACUCAAUUCCACAGCUCACCUUAGCAUUUGGAUUACGAUAAGGAGUCCACGCAAACCCCCUGAGACAAAUUUUUGUCUGAAACUCAAUGUCAAGCUUCAAGUCAAAGCUCUAGGAAAGAAAACUGUAUCUGAGGGAUCCAGAGGCAGAUAAUAACAGAAAUUAAAACGCACAACACAGGUGAACAUGGCUGAUUGCUGCCAAUUAAGCCAAGCUUCCCAUUUCAUGGAUAAAGCUCACACUAGUAUCACACUUAUCCAUAAAUGAAGUCUAGGGAAUUCAAGGCUAUUGACUGCAGAGGAUAUUGGGCAUAUGUGGGUAAGAGCAGAUCCUCCCACCUACUAGGCCCCCUGUUAAUAUGGUGAAAGCUGCUUUAACGCUUAUGUGUGGCGCCCUGUCGCAGUCACCAGGACUCAGGGAUACAAGGUCAGAACAAAGAAAGAGGAAGGCCUCACUUUCCCUCCCUCACAUACCCCAAGUUUUUGCUAGAAAGAGAAAGAAACCAGGGUCACCUGCUGCACUCUUUCUAGAGGAGUAGCCAUUCAUCUUCAGUCUGUAACUGCUUUCAAAUGCAUCCUGAACCCCUGGGACUCCUUUGAAAAUGAGUGUUUUUUUUUCCUUCCUCCUCUUCUGUCCCCUCUUUACUGAUAAGUAAUUGUGUCUCCGUACUACAGGACACUCCCCUCAGAUGCAUCCUCUAAACUAGAAACAGUUAACUUCCCAAACCUUAAACUGGUUGCCUUAGGAUUGGGCUCAGUGGAAGAAAACCCAGAAACCUGACAUGCUCCCAAACGGGCCUUUGGCUUCUCUUUCCCUGUGCAAACUGGUAAAAGGCCUUGGGAUUUUUGAGUUGUCGUUACCCGCCCCCAGCCCAAACCUUAUUUCGUUUUGAUACAUGUUUUCUAAUAACCCGGUUUGUCUCUUCUUGCCUUCAGGCCAUCCCACUCCAAAUGGUCAUGCAGUUGAAGCCUUGGAUGCUGGCCCCUUCUGCCAAGGACCCUUACAUAGACCUCUGAGGGAGCUCUGACUACCAUUUCCUCAAAACAGUGCCCCCUGUCAGCAGGAAGCAGUUAAGAUUGAUCUUCAUCCUUAUCCUUACUCUGAUGGCAGUGACAUGUACUUCUUCAGAGGGAGGAAUGAUAGCUGCAGGAGGAAAAUAACGGUGAAUAUCCCCAGAGAAUCUCCCACCGGCCUGCGUGAUGGAGGGAUGGGGUGGAGUCUCGGGAAAUUUGCGCUGUUUGCACUGGGGGAGGCUGGCCCCUUCUGUUCCUGGGUAGAACCUGGGAUUCAAACUGUGAAAUGGGGCCCCGUUAACAGGAACUUCUCUCACUUUUCUGAGAGGUUUUCUUCCUUUUCACACAAUAAAUUCCAUUCCCUCUCCCCUUCAAAGUGUCUGUGUGCCUAACUUUUCCUGGUCGUGUGACAAGAACCUGGCUUUUUUUCCUACAACACUGGCCUCAGGUGACCCACCCGCCUCAGCCUCCGAAAGUGCUAGGUGUGAGCCACCGCUCCCAGCCUGCAGCAGUUUUUG
rnacentral:lncRNA from 1 species